GUGCUUGUUUUGGUAGCACAUGUACUAAAAUUGGAAUAACCUGGAGAAGAUUAGCAUGGUCCCUGUGCAAGGAUGACAUGUGAAUUCAUGAAGUGUUCCCUAUUUUU